rnacentral:rRNA from 1 species
UACGUAGGGGGCUAGCGUUGUCCGGAAUCAUUGGGCGUAAAGCGCGCGUAGGUGGCUUCGUAAGUCCGUUGUGAAAGUCAAAGGCUCAACCUUUGAAAGCCGAUGGAUACUGCGGAGCUAGAGUACGGAAGAGGCGAGUGGAAUCCUGGUGUAGCGGUGAAAUGCGCAGAUAUCAGGAGGAACACCACAGCGAAGGCAGAUCUCUGGGACGUUACUGACGCUGAGACGCGAAAGCGUGGGGAGCAAACAGG